rnacentral:rRNA from 1 species
GACGAACGCUGGCGGCGUGCUUAACACAUGCAAGUCGAACGGAAAGGCCCUGCUUUUGUGGGGUUCUCGAUUGGCGAACGGGUGAGUAACACGUGAGUAACCUGCCCUUGACUUUGGGAUAACUUCAGGAAACUGGGGCUAAUACCGGAUAGGAGCUCCUGCUGCAUGGGGGGGGUUGGAAAGUUUCGGCGGUUGGGGAUGGACUCGCGGCUUAUCAGCUUGUUGGUGGGGUAGUGGCUUACCAAGGCUUUGACGGGUAGCCGGCCUGAGAGGGUGACCGGCCACCAUGGGACUGAGAGACGGCCCAGUCUCCUACGGGCGGCAGUAGUGGGGAAUAUUGCACAAUGGGCGGACGCCUGAUGCAGCAACGCCGCGUGCGUGAUGACGGCCUUCGGGUUGUAAACAGCUUUCGACUGUGACGAAGCGUGAGUGACGGUAAUGGGUAAAGAAGCACCGGCUAACUACGUG